AUCAGCCUUUUGGGUGUGAUUAUGUGGAGCGUGAGGAGUUAAACGCCUUCAUGCCUGCAUAUUCGUGCACUUUGGGUGUACUUGCCCGUGUGGUUGGUUAACAUCAAUUUUGGUUAUCAUAAAAUGACUGGAGGAAUGUAGCUUCGAUCUCGUAUUGAAGUGUUAUAGCCUUCGGUAGAUGUGAUGAUCGAGAUUGAGGAUUGCAACGGAUACCCUUCGGGGCUACCUGUCUGAUCUCUGAUCGUUGCUCUGGUGCCGAAAGCUUGCUUACGGUUAUCAAAGUCGAUGGUCAAUAGGUUAGAACGGGUUAAAUUCGUUAAGGAUGUUGACGUAAUGGCUUU
rnacentral:rRNA from 1 species